ACACAUGCAAGUCGAGCGGUAGAGAGAAGCUUGCUUCUCUUGAGAGCGGCGGACGGGUGAGUAAUGCCUAGGAAUCUGCCUAGUGGUGGGGGAUAACGUUCGGAAACGGACGCUAAUACCGCAUACGUCCUACGGGAGAAAGCGGGGGACCUUCGGGCCUCGCGCCAUUAGAUGAGCCUAGGUCGGAUUAGCUAGUUGGUGAGGUAAUGGCUCACCAAGGCUACGAUCCGUAACUGGUCUGAGAGGAUGAUCAGUCACACUGGAACUGAGACACGGUCCAGACUCCUACGGGAGGCAGCAGUGGGGAAUAUUGGACAAUGGGCGAAAGCCUGAUCCAGCCAUGCCGCGUGUGUGAAGAAGGUCUUCGGAUUGUAAAGCACUUUAAGUUGGGAGGAAGGGUAGUAACUUAAUACGUUGCUACUUUGACGUUACCGACAGAAUAAGCACCGGCUAACUUCGUGCCAGCAGCCGCGGUAAUACGAAGGGNGCAAGCGUUAAUCGGAAUUACUGGGCGUAAAGCGCGCGUAGGUGGUUCAGUAAGUUGAAUGUGAAAUCCCCGGGCUCAACCUGGGAACUGCAUCCAAAACUGCUGAGCUAGAGUACGGUAGAGGGUAGUGGAAUUUCCUGUGUAGCGGUGAAAUGCGUAGAUAUAGGAAGGAACACCAGUGGCGAAGGCGACUACCUGGACUGGUACUGACACUGAGGUGCGAAAGCGUGGGGAGCAAACAGGAUUAGAUACCCUGGUAGUCCACGCCGUAAA
rnacentral:rRNA from 1 species